UGAACAGAGCCAUCAAUCCACGCUAUCAAUUAGUAAAUAACAGAUUUAAUGAGAGCUCUGGAAGCCUGAGCGGGCUCCGGUCUGUCCUGGCUGGAAGAUUCUGCAGUAAGGGUGCAUAGUUAAAGCGGGAAACGGGAAUUUAAAUGAGUAAUACGUAAAAAAAAUAUGUGAUAAAUCGGAAUCACAGCUGUACCCAGCAGUUCGGUUUUCCCUGCUAACAAGUGGUAUCAGGUGUGUCCGAUUCUUAAAUUACUCCCAGCAGGUGGGUUAAAAACUCAUCUCUGGGAAAUGCACGUACGAAUGAGCAGCCAGUUUAUAGAGCAGACAKGGAGCUGUGCUUGCUACUACACAAAAAUUUAAAAGAUUUAAAAGGAGGAACCCUCACGAUCAGAGGUUGGUGGGUCAYGAGCUGUAAAGAAAAGAGCAGAGAUCCCUGGAUUUCCUCUCCUGACCUUGGCUGCUGUGCUGAUCCUGCAGGGGCUGCCCAGGGAAGGAAUGAAUUUGUGCAUGGGAGAGGGGAAAAAGAACAUGGACAAGUUACAACAGGAAUGACAAGGAACAUUUUAGAUGUUUAGAUGUUGCAUCAGUUAAAUGUCAGGUUGUGGUUUCUGAUCCACUGACUCCACACAGCUGGCACAGCUUCAUUUGGUUCAUUUGUCCUUAAAAAGCUCCAAAAUCCCAUUCAAUCUAUAAUUUUCUCUUGUAUUUAAUGAUAUCUUAGUGCUCCCAUAAUUUAUUAACUCCUUAUCAGCUCAGCUUUUGCCUAAAUCAUCAAAAGCAAAGAAAAUUCAUUUUGCUCCACUUACUCGCGGAAAUCAAAAUUUUUGUUCCUUUCAGGAACAAAAAAAGGAUCCACAGAAAGUCAAAUGAGGGGAAAUUCCUUCUUUCCAGCACCAAAUGUGUGUGUGACAGAUUUGUGGAUGGAAUUUGGAUAAUUAUGGAGUUCAUGCAAGUUUUGUUAGGAUUCAGAAGUUAUGUCAGCAUGACUGAGUUUGUGUUUUCAGAUACCAGUGGAGCUUCCUAGAAGGAAUUCCAGAGAAUUAUUUGGGUUGGAAGAGACCUUUAAUCCCACCCCAUCCAUGGUAGGGACACUUUCCACUGUCCCAGGCAGCAAUUCAUUCCCAAUAUCCCAUCUAACCCUGCCCUCUGGCACAUAUUUUUUAAAA